GAGCCUAGCAUGUCUGCCUUCAGAAAGCCCCAAAAAAGCCGCUGAAAGAGUCAGAUGAAUAUAUUUCCACCCAAGCAAUGGACAGAAGAUAGUGACCCCAGUGGUUGACUGUGCCAAAGCUGGAAGAAGCUGAUGAGAAGGGCAACCUUAUAGGAAGACAAGCAGUUUCAACUUACUUUGAUCCCUGUGGUCUCUCAGACAUUGUGCCACCAAUUAGGAAGCAUACCAGGUUGUGUGAGUCCCCCAACACAUAUACAACAGAAGACUGCCUGAUCUGCACUCAGUGGGAGAAGAUGCACCUAACCUUUGAGAGUCUUGAGACUCCAUGGAGUGGGGACAUCUAAUAGGGUGGGAGUUAGUGUGUGGGGAAAUCUGCUUGGAGACAGAUGAGAAUGUAUGGGACGAGGAGCAAUCAAAGGCUAGAAUGAUAGUUGGAUAGAGACUGGACUGUAAAAAAACUACUAAAGAAUAAUAAAAAAGAAAUGAUGGCACUAUAGAAAGAUUGUCAUGUCCUUUCAGGUGUCCACUUUACUAGCUAUCUUGAACCACUUGCAAUGUGUCAUUUACAUAAUUUCUAGCAGUUACUCUUUAGAUAAAUUCUGGAAUAUAUUUAUGCACAUUAUUUUUGUGUUUGUAGUUUAAAGUGUUUGUUGGUUACAUUUAUACCAAUAUUGUUAUCUUACUAUGUGUCCAUGUACUUUUGAUGCAGAGUCUUGCUGUCCUAUUCACUGAGUUCUCCAACUCAUCCUUGAAACCACGCCUCCUCUGAGCUUCAUGAGAAACUCACAGUACAGAGGCAGAGCACCACAUUCAGCUGAG
rnacentral:lncRNA from 1 species